rfam:Dipodomys ordii contig_1216, whole genome shotgun sequence.
GGUGGCUCAGUGGUAGAGUGCUUGCCUUGCAUGCAUGAAGCCCUGGGUUCGAGUCCUUGGCACUA